rnacentral:lncRNA from 1 species
GCUCCUCAUGGUUCUCCAAGGAAUUUACAACUCCUUACCCUUCCUAAGAGCCAUCUGUUGCAUUUAAGUUCCCGCUGGACCUGAAAUAGAUAUUUACAUGUGAGUUCAUCUUGAGAAGGGACUGUGCCUAAUAAAUCCUUGGAAUUCUGCACCACCCAAUUCAUAGUCACUGUUUAUUUUUCUCAAGGUAUCUUUAGCUGAAGCAAGCACACUAUUUUUUUUUUCUAAUUUGUUAAAACUUUCUAAAUGGUAAUAAAAGCAUUAGUGGCCAUUGAGUGCUGGAAGGUAAAAUCUUUCCUCAGAGGUUGAGAAAUCUCUAGCCAAACAAAUAAAGUGGUGAUAUGAUUUGAAAAUAUUUAUACAAUAUUUUUCCCAUGAGUCAAAUUCAAAUGAUGGAGAUCUUUGCGAGUGAUCGUAUUGACGCAGUUUAUGUACAAGAACCAUAAAGUUACCAUUGACUAGAAGCAAACUGGCUAUAAUUUACUUAAGAAUGUUGUGGUGCCCAUAUUCGUUGUCUUCUAAAGUUGACUUUUAAAAUCAAAACAGUAUCUUCCUGGACAGAUUUAAUAAUGCAUUCAAGCAGGCAUUUUGCCAAAUUCCUUUGAGACUGCAUUAAAUAGAAAGAUAUUUUAAACAUUCAUUUUGAUAAAUGGUACAUAGGUAAUGACCUUGUGCAAUCCACAGAGGCUCGUAUACAAUAAAAGCAUUGACUA